rnacentral:rRNA from 1 species
GACGAACCGUGCGAACGUUGUUCGGAAUCACUGGGCUUAAAGGGCGCGUAGGCGGGCGGGCAAGUCAGGGGUGAAAUCCCACGGCUCAACCGUGGAAGGGCCCUUGAUACUGCCCAUCUCGAGGGAGGUAGGGGCGUGCGGAACUUCCGGUGGAGCGGUGAAAUGCGUAGAUAUCUGGAGGAACACCGGUGGCGAAGGCGGCAUCCUGGACCAACACUGACGCUGAGGAGCGAAAGCCAGGGGAGCAAACGGG